rnacentral:rRNA from 1 species
CGGAGGGGGCUAGCGUUGUUCGGAAUUACUGGGCGUAAAGCGUACGUAGGCGGCUUUGUAAGUUAGAGGUGAAAGCCCGGGGCUCAACCCCGGAAUUGCCUUUAAGACUGCAUCGCUUGAACGUCGGAGAGGUGAGUGGAAUUCCGAGUGUAGAGGUGAAAUUCGUAGAUAUUCGGAAGAACACCAGUGGCGAAGGCGGCUCACUGGACGACUGUUGACGCUGAGGUACGAAAGCGUGGGGAGCAAACAGGAUUAGAUACCCUGGUAGUCCACGCCGUAAACGAUGAUAACUAGCUGUCCGGGCACUUGGUGCCUGGGUGGCGCAGCUAACGCAUUAAGUUAUCCGCCUGGGGAGUACGGCCGCAAGGUUA